ensembl:snoRNA U3 Small nucleolar RNA U3
AAGACUAUACUUUCAGGGAUCAUUUCUAUAGCUUGUUACUAGAGAAGUUUCUCUGACUGUGCAGAGCACCGGAAACCUCGAGGAGGAGGCACAGCUCUCUCCUGAGCGUGAAGCCGGCCCUUGGUGUUGCUUCGCUGCAACUGGCAUUUGCCAUUGAUGAUCGUUCCUUCUCCUCUUGGGGAGCUGGAGGGAGAGGACGCAGUCUGCGUGGC